rnacentral:rRNA from 1 species
GACGAACGCUGGCGGCGUGCCUAAUACAUGCAAGUAGAACGCUGAAGAGAGGAGCUUGCUCUUCUUGGAUGAGUUGCGAACGGGUGAGUAACGCGUAGGUAACCUGCCUGGUAGCGGGGGAUAACUAUUGGAAACGAUAGCUAAUACCGCAUAAAAUUGAUUAUUGCAUGAUAAUUAAUUGAAAGAUGCAAUUGCAUCACUACCAGAUGGACCUGCGUUGUAUUAGCUAGUUGGUGAGGUAACGGCUCACCAAGGCGACGAUACAUAGCCGACCUGAGAGGGUGAUCGGCCACACUGGGACUGAGACACGGCCCAGACUCCUACGGGAGGCAGCAGUAGGGAAUCUUCGGCAAUGGGGGGAACCCUGACCGAGCAACGCCGCGUGAGUGAAGAAGGUUUUCGGAUCGUAAAGCUCUGUUGUAAGAGAAGAACGGGUGUGAGAGUGGAAAGUUCACACUGUGACGGAUCUACCGAAAGGACGCA